rnacentral:rRNA from 1 species
UAAUAUCGGAUAACGCAUAUGUGCUGGUAUGCUCUGUAAUCAAAAGUUCCGGCGCCCUAGGAUGUAUCUGCGUCCGACUAGUUUUUUCUUGGGCUAAUGGCCCAACAAGCCAGUAAUCGGUACGGGUUUUGGGAGCAAGAGCCCGGAGUUGGAUUCUGAGACACGAAUCCAGGCCCUACGGGGCGCAGCAGGCGCGAAAACUGUACAAUGCGGGCAACCGUGAUAAGGGAACCUCGAGUGCCUGUAAAUGCAGGCUGUUCAGAUGCCUAAAACACAUCUGGAGAAAGGGCCGGGCAAGACCGGUGCCAGCCGCCGCGGUAAUACCGGCGGCUCGAGUGGUGGCCACUUUUAUUGGGCUUAAAGCGUUCGUAGCUGGGUUGUUAAGUCUCUUGGGAAAUCUGGCGGCUUAACCGUCAGGCGUCUAAGGGAUACUGGCAAUCUUGGAACCGGGAGAGGUGAGGGGUACUUCGGGGGUAGGAGUGAAAUCCUGUAAUCCUCGAGGGACCACCUGUGGCGAAGGCGCCUCACCAGAACGGCUUCGACAGUGAGGGACGAAAGCUGGGGGAGCAAACCGGAUUAGAUACCCGGGUAGUCCCAGCCGUAAACUAUGCGCGUUAGGUGUAU